GUUGCCCCCAAAGUUACAAUAUCCUGGAAACAAUUACAACAGACCUUAUUCUGAGUUCAAAACAACUCCUACUAAGGAAGCCCAUUCAGAAGCUGACUGGACAUUCUGGCAGGCCGAGGAUGGAGACUCUCCUGAAAGUGCUUUCAGGCACCUUGUUGUGGCAGUUGACCUGGGUGAGAAGCCAACAACCAGUGCAGAGUCCUCAAGCCGUGAUCCUCCAAGAAGGGAAAGAUGCUAUCAUCAACUGCAAUUCCUCAAAGGCUUUAUAUUCCGUACACUGGUACAGGCAGAAGCAUGGUGAAGCGCCCAUCUUCCUGAUGAUAUUACUGAAAGGUGGAGAACAGAAGAGUCAUGACAAAAUAGUCGCUACGUUUAACAAAAAAAAGCAGCAAAGCUCCCUGUACCUUAUGGCCUCCCAGCUCAGUUACUCCGGAACCUACUUCUGUGGCGCAGAGACACAGUGA